GACAGAGGGUGCAAACGUUGUUCGGAAUUACUGGGCGUAAAGCGUGCGUAGGCGGUUAUUUAAGUCUGCUGUGAAAUCCCCGGGCUCAACCUGGGAAUGGCAGUGGAUACUGGAUAGCUAGAGUGUGAUAGAGGAUGGUGGAAUUCCCGGUGUAGCGGUGAAAUGCGUAGAGAUCGGGAGGAACAUCAGUGGCGAAGGCGGCCAUCUGGAUCAACACUGACGCUGAGGCACGAAAGCGUGGGGAGCAAACAGG
rnacentral:rRNA from 1 species